GACAGAGGGUGCAAACGUUGCUCGGAAUCACUGGGCGUAAAGCGCGCGCAGGCGGUCCUUUAAGUCUGAUGUGAAAGCCCACGGCUCAACCGUGGAGGGUCAUUGGAAACUGGGGGACUUGAGUACAGAAGAGAAGAGUGGAAUUCCACGUGUAGCGGUGAAAUGCGUAGAGAUGUGGAGGAACACCAGUGGCGAAGGCGACUCUUUGGUCUGUAACUGACGCUGAGGCGCGAAAGCGUGGGGAGCAAACAGG
rnacentral:rRNA from 1 species